CGUUCUAAACUGGCAUCUCCUGGUGAACCCCUCGAUCGGCAUGUCACAAGUGGAAAGCAAGUUAAGACGCUGCUAGUGUCAUACAAGUUAGCUAACACGACACCGUUUUACGUCCAACACUGUCUCCAUUCUUCAAACCCUAAUUGAUUCUUCCCAAUUCCAAAAUUUUGACCUUCGCGAUUCCUACCAUGUCAUCUGAAGACAUCGGUCUCGGUCCAGAUCAGAGAAUCGAAAACGGCCUAACCUCUCCCAACGUCUUCCGAGAUGACCAUAUGCGCUUCAACUGCAGCGGUGCUCCACAGCGACAUGUCGGUGAUCCUGGUCCUAAAACUCGAGAAGUCGGCGGAUUCAUCGAUGAAAAGAUGUUCACAGUCAAUCGCGGUCAUUUUUUCCCCACACAUGGCACGGAGUUUCGCCGGAACGUUUUCGACAAUCGCUCCGACCGCCGGGACCAGUCAGAUGUACUGAACUAUAGCGCGGACACUCCCAGUAGCGACGAUUCCGACGGAGAAGACGAUGAUGAUGAAGACGACGAUGGAGACACCGUAGUAGACAGACUCGUCAGUAUUGGUGACGUGAGCAAGCGCAAUUCAAAUUCAAUCAUAGACGUUAACAAUAACAAUGGCGGUGGUGUUGCAAAUGGAAAAGCUCAGCAUCAUUCCCCUUAUGUUUCUGGUAGAGAGAUAUUGGGAAAGGACGGUAAUAUUGUACAGUUGGGGCAUAACAAUGCGAGUGGUACUACUGAUGAAGAUCAUCAGCGAGAAAGAUUGGGUAAAACUCAGAACUCUGUAACCGUUGCUGAAACUGACUGUGAGGAGUACUAUUCGCACUAUCUUCAAGGCACGGAAGGGUUGCCUUCUGUGCAGAAAGUUAUGGUGGAUGAUAAUGGUUGUGGGUUUAGUGGAAGAAAGGAUGCCAUGUAUUUGAGCGAGUCAGGGGAGUCAUUGAGGGCAAUUCUUUCCGAUCCUGUUACUGGAACUCUUAUGGAUGAUGCAAUGAUAUUACCUUGUGGACAUUCAUUUGGUGGAGGCGGAAUACAGCAUGUUAUUAGAAUGAAAGCUUGUUGUACUUGUUCUCAACCCACAUCUGAGGAAUCGAUAUCUCCAAAUUUGUCACUUCGAGCCGCUGUGCAGGCAUACCGACGGGAAGAGGAAUCACAAUUUUACCGGUCAUCCAAAAGAAGAAAAGAAAGAUUUGAUCAGGACAGGGUGGUGUCGGAGAGUUGGCUGGUAAUGAACCACCAAGGAAUAGAGGUGUUCAAUUUCCAUUUGCUGUGACAGACCGGGUUAUCAUAAAGGGGAAUAAAAGGACACCACAACGCUUUGUUGGCCGUGAAGCUAUUGUAACAACACAAUGCCUGAAUGGAUGGUAUGUGGUGAAGACAUUGGACAAUGCAGAAAGUGUAAAAUUGCAGUAUCGCUCCCUUGCUAAGGUUUCUGAUGAUCUUUCAAAACCUGUCUCCAACAACAUGGGACCUAAUUGGCUUCAGAUCUGCCGCACGCCAUCAUAAAACAGGGUUGAUAAUACUUCUGCUAAAAUUGCAACUAGAUUUUGAAGAUUUUAUCGUUAACACCCUAAACAUAAUUUCAUGUGGUAAUUCUACUAUUGUAUUAUUGCAAGAAAACUGUGCUAUCUGAGUUUGUAAAUGCAUAAGCCUUGUAAUGCUUUGUGUUUGUUGCGAGUAUAGUAUCUUAGCAACCAUUUUGUUAUGGGUGCAGACUACAACAAUAACAGGUUUAUAUUCAAAUGGAAAAUAUUGUAACCAAAAUAUUAUUCUUACUCAA